GAUGAAGAACGCAGCGAAAUGCGAUAAGUAAUGCGAAUUGCAGAAUCCGUGAAUCAUCGAGUCUUUGAACGCACAUUGCGCCCCCUGGUAUUCCGGGGGGCAUGCCUGUCCGAGCGUCAUUGCUGCCCUCAAGCACGGCUUGUGUGUUGGGCCUCCGUCCUCCUCCCGGGGGACGGGCCCGAAAGGCAGCGGCGGCACCGCGUCCGGUCCUCGAGCGUAUGGGGCUUCGUCACCCGCUCUUGUAGGCCCGGCCGGCGCUUGCCGACACAUCAAUCUUUUUUCCAGGUUGACCUCGGAUCAGGUAGGGAUACCCGCUGAACUUAAGCAUAUCAAUAAGCGGAGGA
rnacentral:misc_RNA from 1 species